rnacentral:rRNA from 1 species
AUGACGGUGCCAGCGGAGGGACAUUC